AGUGAACGCUGGCGGUAGGCCUAACACAUGCAAGUCGAACGGCCGCACAGUAAGAGCUUGCUCUUACGGUUGGCGAGUGGCGGACGGGUGAGGCAUACAUCGGAAUCUACUUUUUCGUGGGGGAUAACGUAGGGAAACUUACGCUACUACCUCAUACGUCCUACGGGUGAAAUCAGGGGAUCUUCGGACCUUUCCCGACUCAUUUAGCCGAUGUCGGAUUAGCUAGUUGGCGGGGUAAAGGCCCACCAAGGCGACGAUCCGUAGCUGGUCUGAGAGGAUGAUCAGCCACACUGGAACUGAGACACGGUCCAGACUCCUACGGGAGGCAGCAGUGGGGAAUAUUGGGCAAUGGGCGAAAGCCUGACACAGCCAUGCCGCGUGGGUGAAGAAGGCCUUCGGGUUGUAAAGCCCUGUUGUUGGGAAAGAAAAGAAGCAGGUUAAUACCCCGAUGUUCUGACGGUACCCAAAGAAUAAGCAACGGCUAACUUCGUG
rnacentral:rRNA from 1 species